rnacentral:misc_RNA from 1 species
AGAAGUAAAAGUCGUAACAAGGUUUCCGUAGGUGAACCUGCGGAAGGAUCAUUAUUGGAUUUUGAAACUUCAGGCUGCUGCUGGCUCUCCUCGGAGGGCAUGUGCACGCUUGUUGUCCAUUAUUUCUCCCACUGUGCACAAAUUGUAGACCUUUCAGUAGGCCUAUGUUGUUUUUCACAAUCUCUGAAUGUAAUAGAAUGGUUUUGAAUCUUGGGAAAUAAAAUACAACUUUCAGCAACGGAUCUCUUGGCUCUC